rnacentral:rRNA from 1 species
AGUGAACGCUGGCGGUAGGCCUAACACAUGCAAGUCGAACGGCAGCACAGUAAGAGCUUGCUCUUACGGGUGGCGAGUGGCGGACGGGUGAGGCAUACAUCGGAAUCUACUUUUUCGUGGGGGAUAACGUAGGGAAACUUACGCUAAUACCGCAUACGACCUACGGGUGAAAGCAGGGGAUCUUCGGACCUUGCGCGAUUGAAUGAGCCGAUGUCGGAUUAGCUAGUUGGCGAGGUAAAGGCACACCAAGGCGACGAUCCGUAGCUGGUCUGAGAGGAUGAUCAGCCACACUGGAACUGAGACACGGUCCAGACUCCUACGGGAGGCAGCAGUGGGGAAUAUUGGACAAUGGGCGCAAGCCUGAUCCAGCCAUACCGCGUGGGUGAAGAAGGCCUUCGGGUUGUAAAGCCCUUUUGUUGGGAAAGAAAAGCAGCAGGUUAAUACCCCGCUGUUCUGACGGUACCCAAAGAAUAAGCACCGGCUAACUUCGUG